CCAAAACUGUAUACAGUAUUCAAAAAAGAGAUUUCCUACGCAGAGCUUACCUAUUCAAGAUUAACAGCAUUGAAAAUAAAGCUAAAACUUGUAAAUGAUGGCGGUUACACUAGAAAAUUAUGUGUUCUACCUAAACCUCUUUCUUUAGAGAAGGAAAAUAAUCAUCCACAAGUUUGUAUGGGAAAACUCUCCUAUCCUCCAGCAUACAAAUUGGAUUGUGUAGAUGCCGUUGAAGAAUUGUUGCGCUCAAUUCUCAUUGUCCUGCUUCGGUUUAAAUCUGUUUUGAGUGACCAUGCAGGAAUUGAGGUUUUUAAACUUCUCACCACUGAUCAGUAUCAACUGCUGUCAGAUACUUUGCUUGAC